CAGGAUGAGGACUGCCUAGCUGGGUGUGCCUUGGGACCUUGACUCAGGAGCAGUAACUGGGAAAAGAGGACAGUGGGGAGCACAGGGUGCUUGUCCUUCCCUGGAGGUCACUGUCCCACCAGGCUCCUUCCAAGAAAUGCCUUUUCUGCUGUAGAGCUCAUACUGACUUUCCCUCCUGGGAUGGCCUCAUUGGUGGGGCAACCAGAUGUACCUGUAGGUCAGAGAUGACUGAACUCUCUUCUGUCACCGUCCCACAGCCAGCUUCCUAAGCCUGGCGCAUCGGCUCUACAGGAACAUCCCAACCAGCAGAUCCCUUCUUGCCAUGCUGCGUUCCUCCUGCAGCGGGCAGGCAGGGCUGCGGUCACACGGAGGGCAGGUGGGUGGGACUUCUGAUAAGCACUGCAAGAUGUCUGGAGCCAUGUGGUACAACCCAAAUAUAACAGCACCGGGCAGCCUGAGAGCAUUGUUCUCUGGUCACACAGGAAGUGUGUCUCUCUGAAUGUCACCCGGAGCCUUUCUGCACAAGGCAUAAUGAUGCCAGGAAAGGAAGCAGUAAGACAUUUUUGAACCACUGAGGAGAUUUUGGCACUGUGCAGUGCCCGGUGUGGGACAGUUCUGCCUUGCAGAAAGCAUAAUGGGAGCCCUCAUGAAUGAAGAUGUGCCUUUGCUGUGAAAACAGUGGUGCCUCUAAUUACAAGAGAAGCAUCUUCAGUCUUAGAGCCAAAUUCUUGAUAAGGAAAUGUCCUUGUUUAAGUGUAUCUAAUUGAGACCUGCACUCCAGCUCCAGCUCCAUACAUAGGUGAUGCUCAGCAGUUGUGUGGAAGUAAAAAUGACCCAGCUGUGACUUCUCGCCCAGCUCUAUGGUGCUUUACAGCAAAGCUGAUGAAGCCUAGAGGUGUCUGUCCUCACAAAACCUCACUGCAUCCCUCCAUGUGUUAUUGCUGCUCUGAGGGAUGGCAGAAAGCCCCCAUGGGGAUCUCUGCUUGAUUUUGGUGAGAUUUGAUGUUAAUUUGGGAUUACAAUUGAGCCUGAAUGUGGGAAAGAAAGAAGGCAGCUGUAGGUGCCUGCUGAGCUGUGAUGUGGCUCUUCUUCUCUGCCUGCUGUCACAGGUUGCCCUGCCCUGCAGCUGCUCAGACCCACAUGUAAACACUGAGCCACCAAACUCCUCUCCAAGUUACCUUUCAUCUCCUGGGAGCAGAGAGUGAAAGCAAAAUCUGCUUUGCUGUGUUCAGAGCUCGGCUGGCCACCUCUCUGUGAUGAAAGAUCCUGCUGCCUUCAUGUCGUGGCUUUGGGGCUGUCUGCUGGGGUUCUGUGCUCCCAUCGCAGUGUCUGGGGCCAAUUUUUGUGUUCUCUGACUCUAAUGCACGCAGAGUCCUUGUCCCAAACCUAGCAGUAAGGAAACUAGCUGUCUGCUCAGCUUUUCCAGAAAAAAAACUGAUGGCUGGGAGGCCCAGUCCCUACUUAAGAUGCUGCUAUGAUGCUUCUUGAAACUGGCUCCUGGGAGCUAGCAAUGAGACAAACUGUGUUUGGUUCCUGACCAAGUCUAUGCUUGCCUGUGACGCAAUUAGAGUGAAGUAAUACACGCUGCACAUAGAAUGGUCCAAAUUUCUCGUAGAGAUGAGUGUUAGAGCUGGGCAAAGCUCAGAACCUGUCCCUAGCCCAGUGGUAAUUGUAAGGUAUGGCAGUCCUUUGAAACUGCUUUUGUAUGCAGGGCUGGAAGGGGCCUCCUAACUGAUGCCCACUUACCUUCUAUUUUCUUCAACUUUGUUGACUAUUACUUUCCAUAAACAAGACAUGCUCUGUCUUCGAGGGGAGGGGCUUGUCCUCAUAGUAUUCCAGCUGAAAA
ensembl:lncRNA